rnacentral:lncRNA from 1 species
UUUGAACAAAACUGAUCUUGGUAUGAUUGUAGUAGAGGGUUGUUCUUUAGUAACAAGUCUUUCUAUUCGUUCUGCUUGUUUUCCUAAAGAUUGCAUAUAAAGAUUGGUAUAAUUAUUUUGCUCAAUUAUAUGUGGAAUCAAUUCUUGUUUCUUACCAAUUUCUUUAGGUAAGAUUUUAUAUGGAGUAGCAAUUAUAUCAUAUAAAGAUGGUGAUUUUGUGGGUUCGUCUUUUAUUGGCAUAAUUGUCUUAAGUAUUAAGCUUUUCUCAGGAGGAUGGAUACUAGCAGUUGUAGUACCAUCUGUACUAAUAUAAGUUUUUUCUUCUAUUGUUUGAAUUUCUUCAUCAAAAGAAGAAGGGAUAUGAAGCUGGUGUUGAUAAUUAUUUCUUAACCAUGAAAAA